GGAUAGAAUGUAAACCCUAAACUGUUUAUAUCUAUCUACUUAUAAAGGGAAGUUUUUCAGACGACACAAUCUGCUUCGACACCCGGCAGGACGCAGCCUCCCCUAUCGCCUCAGGCUCAGGACACUCUUCUUAGGACUCUUAAUUGUCCGAUUUGGUAAUUUAAUAUUAGACCACCCCAUUGACAAUUCCAGGAUCCCCACUUUCAUACACCCGAUGCAUAGCAGCGGCAACACUAAUUGGAAAAUCGAACCACCAACUGGGCGAGAAACAUGCCUCCUCAGUCAUUUGGUUACUUUUCUAAAAGAAGAGAGUUGAUGGGAAUGGGUGGAGUAGGCAAAAAAAAAAUAUAGGUAUGGUUUUUUUUGAGAUAUUAUUUUACUUGUUUGAUUAGAUACUCUAUUUUGUACAUUAAGGAUAUGACAUUAAUUAUUAAUUGUUUUUUUUCAUUCAUUCUAAAA